GACGAACGCUGGCGGCGUGCUUAACACAUGCAAGUCGAACGGUGAAGCGCUUUCCUUUUUGGUUGGUGUGGAUGAGUGGCGAACGGGUGAGUAACACGUGAGUAACCUGCCCCCUUCUUCUGGAUAACCGCAUGAGAGUGUGGCUAAUACGGGAUAUUCUGCGCCUGCUGCAUGGUGGGUGUGGGAAAGAUUGUGCCUUUGGGUGUUUUCGGUGGGGGAUGGGCUCGCGGCCUAUCAGCUUGUUGGUGGGGUGAUGGCCUACCAAGGCGGUGACGGGUAGCCGGCCUGAGAGGGUGGACGGUCACACUGGGACUGAGACACGGCCCAGACUCCUACGGGAGGCAGCAGUGGGGAAUAUUGCACAAUGGGCGCAAGCCUGAUGCAGCGACGCCGCGUGAGGGAUGGAGGCCUUCGGGUUGUGAACCUCUUUCGCCAGUGAAGCAGGCCUGCUCCUUGUGGGUGGGUUGACGGUAGCUGGAUAAGAAGCGCCGGCUAACUACGUG
rnacentral:rRNA from 1 species